rnacentral:rRNA from 1 species
GAUGAACGCUGGCGGCGUGCCUAAUACAUGCAAGUCGAGCGAACAGACGAGGAGCUUGCUCCUCUGACGUUAGCGGCGGACGGGUGAGUAACACGUGGAUAACCUACCUAUAAGACUGGGAUGACUUCGGGAAACCGGAGCUAAUACCGGAUAAUAUAUUGAACCGCAUGGUUCAAUAGUGAAAUACGGUUUUGCUGUCACUUAUAGAUGGAUCCGCGCCGCAUUAGCUAGUUGGUAAGGUAACGGCUUACCAAGGCAACGAUGCGUAGCCGAUCUGAGAGGGUGAUCGGCCACACUGGAACUGAGACACGGUCCAGACUCCUACGGGAGGCAGCAGUAGGGAAUCUUCCGCAAUGGGCGAAAGCUUGACGGAGCAACGCCGCGUGAGUGAUGAAGGUCUUCGGAUCGUAAAACUCUGUUAUUAGGGAAGAACAAAUGUGUAAGUAACUAUGCACGUCUUGACGGUACCUAAUCAGAAAGCCACGGCUAACUACGUG